rnacentral:lncRNA from 1 species
AGACAAUGGAAAUCACCUUUUAUUUUAAAAAAAGUAUUACAUUAAUAAAGCACUGCCCCAUUUAAAACAACACAGCAGAUCCCUAAUUCAACAAAGCAAUUGCUUCCCUUAAUUAAGCCUGCAUUCCUGCACAGGAAAUGGGAUGUACACUGAGCCCAGUAUUCAGUCCUUGAUGUGCAGAGAUUCCGCGUACACUGAGCCCAGUAUUCAGACCUUGCUGUGCAGAGAGUCUGUGUACACUGAGUCCACUAUUCAUGUGUCUGUGCAGAGAGUCCGUGUACACUGAGCCCAGUAUUCAGCCUUUCCUGUGAAGAGAGUCCAUUUACACUGAGUCCAGUAUUCGUGUGUGUCUUUGCAGAGAGUCCGUGUACACUGAGCCCAGUAUUCAUGUGUGUCUGUGCAGAGUCUAUGUACACUGAGCCCAAUAUUCAGGACAUGCUGUGCAGAGAGUCCAUGUACACUGAGCCCAAUAUUCAUGUGUGUCUGUGCAGAGAGUCCAUGUACACUGAACCCAAUAUUCAGGCCUUGCUGUGCAGAGAGUCCAUGUUCACUGAGCCCAAUAUUCAGGCCUUGCUAUGCAUAGAGUCCAUGUUCACUGAGCCCAACAUUCAGGCCUUGCUGUGCAGAGAGUCCAUGUACACUGAGCCCAACAUUCAGGCCUUGCUGUGCAGAGAGUCCAUGUACACUGAGCUCAGCAUUCAGGCCUUGCUGUGCAGAGUCCAUGUACACUGAGCCCAAUAUUCAUGUGUGUCUGUGCAGAGAGUCCGUGUGCACCGAGACCAGUAUUCAUGUGUGUCUUUGCAGAGUCUGUGUACACUGAGCCCAGCAUUCAUAUGUGUGUAUACACUGAGCCCAUUAUUAAUGUGUCUGUGUAGAGAGUCCAUAGACACUGAGCAGAAUAAAUGAGAGUAAUUUGUAAGGAGUCCAUGUGCAAUGACUAUAGAAUAGCAGCCAAUACGCACACUGCUUGUAUCCGCAUAAGGUUUUUGGCUAGAGACCCAGAAUUAGAGGAUUAGGACAUGUGUGCGGAAAAUGUCAUAUGGAUCAUACUGUAAGCAUUGGCUCAACCUAUCAGUUUAUGGACAACAAACAUGUUUCAGAUACAGAGAUAGUUUCUCCUUGCAGGAUUCAACCAUAGUGUUUACUCUGCACAGAGCAGUAAGAGUCUUCAAUCAUUCCUUUCAAUCAUUUAAAGGAGUCGAUAACACCAACUGCGAUCGCAAACUUUCCCUCCCAAUAACAUCAAGGUCUCUCCUGCUGCCGUGGCUUGUUAAUGGCACCUUAGCACUGUGCUUCCUCUUCUUCUGUGCCGAGUGAUCCAAACUUAUCCAGGUAUCUUCUGGUUAAAUGCAUCAUGUAUG